AUUUAUUGUUUUCCAUUAAGUUUUGGGGUUAUCUGUCAUACAGCAACACAUAACUGAUACCUUAUGACUUGCUUUGGCCUGUGACGAUGGACAGAAGUAUUAUUUCCAGGGAGAAGCCUUAAGGACAAGGUAUAAUCCUCUGUGUUCUUGUUCUAGUCAGUUUGCAGCUGGUGGCUGUGUCAUUAGCCUGACCCUGGAGUGAGGACUGUGUCUGGGUCAGGGGCCCAGCAAGGCAAAGAUGACAUGGCAGAAGAGACGUUGAGGAAUGUUUAAAGACAGAACCAUCCACAAGCCUGACAUCCUGCUCACACUUAGCAGAAAGCAACAGGGGAUGGUAAAACAUCUCAGGCCAGUGUUAACACCCCAAAUCUGAAGUGACGGGAGAGAGAGUAGUGGCCAGAAUCAGGUGAGAGGUGUAGCUGUAGGAGAGGGCUACUUAACAGGACUGUAACCUUGGUAAAGAAAUGCAGCUGCUGUCAGCUAAGAACCCUGUAGGGAGGGCCCUGGAGGCAGAACGCACCGCCUCCCUUACCUCCUGCUGGUGCCUCCCACUGCCCAACCUGUGUAGUCUUAGGUCUUGGUGUUGCCACUAUUUAUAUGACUCUUUAAAAAUGGUACCAAACAACGGUUCAGUCUUUUAGCUUUUUAGGGAUGCAAUUUGUAGCUUAUUCAUUUUGAUGGUUCAUUGAAAGGAAAUUUUUCUUAGAAUAGUUGCACCACUGAGGCUAUUCUGAAGUUCUUCCAUGGAAGGAGUGGACAGUAUCUGCUUUAGAUACUUUUUCACAAAGAAUUAUUUUCUUCCUUGUGAGAUGGAAUGUCAAGAUGCCUAUUGGCCUCCUCUUCGCCUGCACUUUAAAAGUCUUGCUCAUGGAGAUAGUGGCCUCCAAUUUCAGAACAGUACAUCUUUUCCCAAAAGGCCUUUCAUCCUUCCAUAAAUACAUAUGAUGGCCUGGCCCAGUCCUAAAUCCAGUUAGAGGAUUUGCACAGCAACCUCCCUCCCUCCAGAGCUGUGUUAGCUAAUUCUAGGCUUUGAAGAGUCAGGAGUCUUUGCCAGAGAAAAGGCCAACUGAACGGGACUGAGUUUAUAGGAUAAAUAAGUCAACUGCAAAGUUCUUGGGAUUUGCUUGCUCUCACAGAGAACCUAUGCCAGGUUGGAGUUCUCAAACCUCUCAUUAGAGCCUUGUUAUUCUAGUGAGGUCAGCCCUACCAAGUGUCCACCAUCGAGGCAUCCCUUCCUUGGAACUUCAGAUACCUUAAAACCAAAUUUCUGAGAUCUUAUAAUACGUCAACUCUGAUGCCAGAAAAUGCCUGCUCCUUCUGCCACCUUCAGAUGGACUCUGAGCUGUUUCUUUCCUAUACGUCAAGUCUUAUUUGGUGUGGUAAACACCCACUCAGGUAGAGAGCAGGGCACAAAUUAUACUGAAAACAUUUCUUCAAUCAGGUUUUAAAGGAUGUGAUCAAUUUACAACUAAAAUUCAGAUCUAAGACCAAAAAACUGCUAAUACGGACUAAAAGACAAGUCAAGCCCUAGAAAGGAACAGCUCCUGGAUAUUAUUUUUUAAAAAGGAAAAUCUAUGUACAUUCACAUUGUUUUGCUAUUAUAAACAAUGCUGCAAUGAA